GUGCUCGCUUCAGCAGCACAGGUACUAAAACUGGAACAACGUCAAGAAGAUAGCAUGGCCCCCGCGUAACAAUGACGUGCAAAUUCCUCAGGUGUUCCAUAUUUUU